rnacentral:rRNA from 1 species
UGGGGAAUAUUGGACAAUGGGCGAAAGCCUGAUCCAGCCAUGCCGCGUGUGUGAAGAAGGCCUUUUGGUUGUAAAGCACUUUAAGCGAGGAGGAGGCUACUUAGAUUAAUACUCUAGGAUAGUGGACGUUACUCGCAGAAUAAGCACCGGCUAACUCUGUGCCAGCAGCCGCGGUAAUACAGAGGGUGCGAGCGUUAAUCGGAUUUACUGGGCGUAAAGCGUGCGUAGGCGGCUUUUUAAGUCGGAUGUGAAAUCCCUGAGCUUAACUUAGGAAUUGCAUUCGAUACUGGGAAGCUAGAGUAUGGGAGAGGAUGGUAGAAUUCCAGGUGUAGCGGAGAAAUGCGUAGAGAUCUGGAGGAAUACCGAUGGCGAAGGCAGCCAUCUGGCCUAAUACUGACGCUGAGGUACGAAAGCAUGGGGAGCAAACAGG